rnacentral:lncRNA from 1 species
AGCGCCGGAUCCUGCAGAGGGGCGAGGCGCUCUAUUUUGUUUUGUGGAAAUCGGCAAUUAUUUCUAGUUGGAUCAAUGGGCAUAAUUUCUGAGAGGUCGGGUGGGUCUGCGUAAGCUUCUACGCGCAUUUGGAAACCCAUUGGGUUUUGAGUUACGAAACCGCACAGACUUUCUCCCACCCCAGCGGCUCCGGGCAAUAAGCUAGGCCUGCCCUACACGGAGCAAGCGAGCGUCAGGCCUUCCCGAGGGGAGUACAAGGUUCUCAGCUGGGGUCCACUGAGGAGGUAGGAAGAAAAGAGAGCUGCCACUCCUGCCUGGAGCUGAACAACAGGCCAAGAAGAGUUUGGUGUUGGAUGUGACAGAGAAAACAUUAAAGGAAUAUUCUGGUUGAGCUCUUCCUUGAA